rnacentral:rRNA from 1 species
UACGGAGGUGCGAGCGUUAUCCGGAAUUACUGGCGUAAGGUGCGUAGGCGGUUUAUCAAGUCAGGGUGGAAGGCGUACGGCUCAACCGUAGUGAGCCUCUGAAACUGGUGAACUUGAGUGUAGGAGAGGAAAGUGGAAUUCCCAGUGUAGCGGUGAAAUGCGUAGAUAUUGGGAGGAACACCAGUGGCGAAGGCGACUUUCUGGACUACAACUGACGCUGAGGCACGAAAGCGUGGGGAGCAAACAGGAUUAGAUACCCGGUAGU